rnacentral:antisense_RNA from 1 species
CUUCAACGAACCCAGCCACAGCGGCUCACCGUUCUCCGGCCGGUCCUGACCAUAGGUCGCGAGCAGAGCCUGCGCCUC